UGUUUGUAAAUCUUCUUCCACCGCGUGGCUGCACUGGAGUCUCUGAGCCUCCGCUGGCUCAGAAGGCUGCUGGACUCAUGAACUGUUCAUUACAAAAUUAAUGUUUUAAAAAUUUAAUUCAGGUGAAGUUUUUCUUUUACCAGAUGGUGUCAGAAGCAGAGUCCCAAGUAGAGCUUCUAAUAAACCCUAGGAAUGCUGGGUGACCAAAGAGACGUAGCUGGAGAACCCAUUUGUGUCCUUUGAUCUCUUGGAGCAGCUGGGGAUCAUGGUAAAGAGAGCUUUUCAUGGUUCACUGAGGAAAAUCAACUUCUUCACAAUCAAGAACCCAAAGAUUGGAUUUUCUGAGAACAUCAGAGAAAGAGUGCCCUUGCCACUCACACUGCAACAGAACUUCAGGACCUUGAAUCUUGGGCUCAUAGUCUCACAACUGAGAAGGAUCCCUCCAUAUUCUUGGAACUGUACACUCAUUGGAACCCUUAAGAAAAAUGGAAAAUGUAUCCAGUAUAAUUGAAUCAACAUACAAUUUGCUCAAUGAAACUCCUGUAUCUUUCAGACUGAUUCUACCUGGACUUCAGACUCAUUCCUCAACUGAUCCUGUGGCCCCACCCAGAGGCCAACUCGGGGCAUGAGGACUGUUUUGGACACCCCUAUGAGUUCAUCCCCAAUUAAUCAGCAACACCAAUUAUUUAGCUCCCUGCUGACCAAAUUGUCCGUAAAAACCCUAACAUUCAUGCCUUCAGAAAGACUGAUUUGAGUGAUAACUCCAGUUCUCUCAAGGAGGCAGUCCUCGUGUCCAUUCAACUUUCUCUAUUGUAAUUCCCCUAACUUGAUAAAGCAACUCUAUCUGGGCAGUGGGCAAGAUGAACCUGUUGGGUGGUUACAUCUCCCUAAAACAUAUAAAACCAAGCUAUAACCCAACCACCUUAAGCACAUGGUCUCAGGCCAUUGUCGCUCAUAUUUGGCUGAGAAUAAGCCUCUUUAAAUAUCUUACAGACUGUGGCUUUUUAUAAUCAAUAUUUAGAAUCAGACAUCACUAACAUCCUUUCUAAUUUAGCAUUUUCGUCUAAUUUAAGGGACCUUGUGGCAACUCAAUCCAAAAGCCUGUCACGUAAAGCCCAAGUGAAUUUCCAGGGUUUUUACCGUAUUUCCUGGAAUGGCAUACAUAAGACAGUCCACAUGAUUCCCCCAAAACUUACUCUCAGAAACAGACUUAAGAAAGUAAAGAUGACAAAAUUUUCAUAGGGAUGGUGCCUUUUAAGACAAAACUUUCCUAAGAACUUACGUUCAAAAUGAAAGUGUGUGGCUUAAAAUCUUACAUGUCCUGCAUGCUCAAUCUUUUCAGGAUGGCUGCUUGAGUUGACCCUGAAAACCCAUAACCUGUGGCUGGCAUACACUAAGACAGUAUCCCCACUUAGUCACAAAUCAAGUUUUCAAGGACAUAAGCCAAGAUGAGAGGAAAACCUCAUCAGCUUUUAUUUCAGGGGCCCACAGAAAUGUUUGUCUUAACAGACUCUGGUCUAGUCAUAAUUGCAAAGCUGAUUGGUCUGCAGGACUGGCUCAUCCAGCAGGCUUCUAGGGGUUCCAGGCUUGUGUUCUACCCUAUGGUACUCCUCUUUAUGGCAGAAUGGCACAGAAAGACAAAGACAAAGACAAAGGAAAAGGACCACAAAAAGAAUUUAACAAUGUGAGCAUUCAUACUACAAAGUACCAAAAGUACAGCAGAGUCACUACAACCCAAGACUGAUCACAUAAACGCUUUUUUCCCAGUAAUGAAAACCUUGAGACAAAACAGUGAUUUUUACCUUCUGCUCAACUAGAUUGCAUAGCGAGAGAGAGAGACUGGGAGCCUGAUUGAUAAGAAGUCCUUACCCUUUUGCUGGCUUGUCAGGUUCCUGAGUUCUCUUCACUGUAGCUUUAAUAAGAGCAGAGCAGCUUUGUUUAUCUUGCUCUCAGGACCAUACUGUGAGUGCCAUAGGCUCUUGGCCCCCUAAAGGUUUGCUACAAAAUCCCUGACAUGAGACAGAUUAAUUAAUAAGAGAAAAGGCAUACAAAUUUACUUAACAUGUAUACGCGGGAGCCUUCAGAAUGAAGACUCAACUUUUUAAUGAGUAACAGAAGCUCAUAUACCAUCUUGAGGUUACAGAAAAAAUGGGGGCUUGGAGCCUGGUAAAACAGGUUAUGAGAAGGGGAAGAAGAGGUAUUCUAUUGAGGUGAAAGGUCAGAGAGACCCUGAGGCUUCUUCUUCUGUUCAGCAUUUCAAAAUGUCAUAUUUUGGGAUGGUGGUUUCUGAGCCCCAACAGGAGUAAGUCUCAGCAAUCUUUUAAGACUUAGGGAAGGGGCAGUAAGAAUAAGACCUUUUAAAUUUUGAUUAAGAGAUACCAUGAAAAAUUGUGAAAGCCCACCUUUGUUUCAUUCUCAAACAUGAAAAAGACUGCAUGAAACACACCCAGUUGUUUCUUCCUGUGUUUGUAUCUGCAGUAACAAGCUCAGUAUAACCUUGAAAAAGUGUUUCAUCUACUGUAUUAUAAGUAAAAUCAGACACUUUUGAAUUGUGAACUUUUUUGCAACAAAAGAAAUAGCAACAUAUUCAGAUAAUGAAAAACAAUCACCAGUAUCAUUCUUGCCUUAAAACAAUGUUACCAUCACACAAAGAUCCAAAAAAGUGUAGAAAACAGCUCAGAAAAAAAAAUUUCAAUCAACCAGUUUCAAUUAUUGUGCUUUUAUUACAUCUGAAAAAGUGGGGAAGCCUCCACUAACCCAUAUGUAAUUGUAACUCAAAGGGUGAUUUUGCAAGGCAUGGUGGCCCAUACUUGUAAUCCCAAUGAUGUUAGAUAUUUUUGUAGUACUGGAGUACAGUACACAGUCUCGCUUUCCUCAGUUUCAGUUACUCAUGGUCAACUGUGGUCCAAAAAUAUUAAAUAAAAAAAUUCCUGAAAUAAACAAUUCAUAAGUUUAAAACUGUACACCAUUCUGAGUAACAUAAUGAAAUAUUUUCUGGGACAUAGAUCAUCCUUUUGUCCAGUAUAUCCACACUGUAGACGAUACUUGCCUCUUAGUCACUUAGUAGCUGUCUUGGUUAUCAGACAAAAAAAUAUACUGUAUAAAGGGUUCAGUACUAUCCACAGUUUCAGGCAUCCACUGGGGAUCUUGGAAUGUAUCUUUGCAAAUUAGGGGGAGCUAUUUUCACUAAUAUUGUCAAAACAAUCAAGCAUGUGAUUAGUAAACUUGCCUCCUUCAACAGGAUGUGGAUCUUUUGGUAUAUUGUCUUAUGUAUGUCUAAAGUGCAUAUAGCAUGAGUUGCUUACUAGACAGGAGCAGCUGAAACACAAAAGAUAAUUAUAUUUUAAGGUUAAUUUCCCAAAUAAACCCAACAGUAUAUAAGAAUCUGAAAAAAUAUUUAUUUAUGUUUAUAAACUUCAUUUUAGUAAUCCAUUAACAUUCAAUAAAGACUGAAUAGUUUUAUGGUUUCAACAUUACUAGCUAGAUUAGAAAAUUAAAAUUUAUAGUCUUUUUUUUUUUUUGAGACGGAGUCUCACUCUGUCACCAGGCUGGAGUGCAGUGGUGCGAUCUCGGCUCACUGCAACCUCUGCCUCCCGGGUUCAAGCGAUUCUCCUGCUUCAGCCUCCCGAGUAGCUGGGACUACAGGCGUGCGCCACCACGCCCAGCUACUUUUUGUAUUUUUUAGUAGAGAUGGGGUUUCACCAUAUUGGCCAGGAUGGUCUCAAUCUCUUGACCUCGUGGUCCGCCCGCCUUGGCCUCCCAAAGUGCUGGAAUUACAGGCGUGAGCCACCGCACCUGGCCUAAAAUUUAUAUUCUUUACAUUUGACUUCAAUACACUGAUGAAUGAUAAAACAAACUUUACUAAUCUUUUUUGUUAAGAAAAAGUAUAUUUUAUUUUCUGGAUGUGGUUGCUGUUAUCAACUAAAUGUUCAUGAUGGAUGUGAUCUUAGAAAAAAAAUAAAUAACCGGUAUAGUCUGUAGU